rnacentral:rRNA from 1 species
GAGUUUGAUCCUGGCUCAGAUUGAACGCUGGCGGCAGGCCUAACACAUGCAAGUCGAACGGUAACAGGAAGAAGCUUGCUUCUUUGCUGACGAGUGGCGGACGGGUGAGUAAUGUCUGGGAAACUGCCUGAUGGAGGGGGAUAACUACUGGAAACGGUAGCUAAUACCGCAUAACGUCGCGAGACCAAAGAGGGGGACCUUCGGGCCUCUUGCCAUCGGAUGUGCCCAGAUGGGAUUAGCUAGUAGGUGGGGUAACGGCUCACCUAGGCGACGAUCCCUAGCUGGUCUGAGAGGAUGACCAGCCACACUGGAACUGAGACACGGUCCAGACUCCUACGGGAGGCAGCAGUGGGGAAUAUUGCACAAUGGGCGCAAGCCUGAUGCAGCCAUGCCGCGUGUAUGAAGAAGGCCUUCGGGUUGUAAAGUACUUUCAGCGGGGAGGAAGGGAGUAAAGUUAAUACCUUUGCUCAUUGACGU